rnacentral:rRNA from 1 species
AUUGAACGCUGGCGGCAUGCCUAACACAUGCAAGUCGAGCGAGCGGCGGACGGGUGUGUAUUGUCUGGGAAACUGCCUGAUGUAGGGGGAUAACACUUGUAAACGGUAGCUCAUAUCCCACACCCUCAGAUGUGCCCAGAUGGGAUUAGAUAGUGGGUGGGGUAACGGCUCACCCAGGCGACGCUCCCUAGCUGGUCUGAGAGGAUGACCAGCCACACUGGAACUGAGACACGGUCCAGACUCCGACGGGAGGCAGCAGUGGGGAAUAUUGCACAAUGGGCGCAAGCCUGAUGCAGCCAUGCCGCGUGUGUGAAGAAGGCCUUCGGGUUGUAAAGCACUUUCAGCGGGGAGGCGUUACCCGCAGAAGAAGCACCGGCUAACUCCGUGCCAGCAGCCGCGGUAAUAC